GAGUAGACGUCAACGAGUAACAGUGAAGACCUAGCCGUGCCUGGAGUAAAUUAAGGUGAUCUAUGUCUCCGGCUUUCCAAGCCAGCAGCAAAUAAUCCCAAAGGAGGUAAACAUCUAAAAGAAAGGAAUGAAAACAGGUUUUAUUUAUAAAUGCCUCACUGUUGGAACCUGCAUGAAUGAAAGCUGAAUCUCAAAGAUCAGACACGUUGGACUUGGAAUAAUGUCCAUGUUAUGAUUCCAAUCUGUGCCUAAAUCUGAACCACUCAGUUCUUCAUGCUUGUUGGAAUCCUCCUAAAAUUGGAAUUUCCUGGGAGAUAUCCAGUACUUUUUGGGCUGUAAACAGCAAAACAAACAGCCUUUCUUGUAAUAUGCUACGUCUAGUGCUAACUGAAUUCAAGAAGUUUAUGAGUGUGGGGAAAAGUACGAGUAUUGUAUCUGUAGCUCCAGCAGCCAUCUUGGACCAGAAUAUGAUGGUCUGGAGAAUGUAAGCCAUGUGCAGAAUGAUACUUACAGACAAGGGACUGUGUACUUCAUUGAACCGUAAAGCUGCCAUAGUUGCCUUGGAUACUCUCCUUGUGGACACCUUUUAUGUGCAAGAAAAAUAAACUAUCUUGUUUAAGCCAUUGUUAUUUGUGGAAUUUUCAUUACAUGCAG
rnacentral:lncRNA from 10 species